GACGGCACAAUGAGGAGCAGGGCUGUGUGAAGUGCAUUGUGGUCGGUGGCUGCAGCAGCAGAGAACCACAUGAAUGUAGCAUAACUAGAAAAUAAAAACCUCCCUCUGGUUCACGAGAAGUACAGCAGGAAGCUAAUAUCUACAGAGGCAGUUCAGGCCCAGUAGUUACAGGCUGACCCCUGAGUGUUGCAGAACACACCUCAUGGUGCUGCCAUGCGUGGAGGACACGGAGAAGAUGGAGGAAGUAUACGUUAAGUCAAUUGCUGAGAAAUAGAUCAUCUCAUUCAGAAGUCCCUGGUUGAAGACAGAGUUGGACUUUGAUGACUGAAGUGUGUUACUGGACUAUUUGGUGUUGAUGGCUGUGUGAUCACCAUCAAACAUGAUGGAAUCAUUUCAAAGACUCAGUGAAGAAAAAGCAACCAACUUCAGUGGAGCCGACCUUCGUCCUCAGACUGUUUUUCCUCUCCGUUCGUCAGCGAAGACAAUAUUGACUGGUCCCUUUUUAGUAUUAGAUCACCACUACUAUUAGCAAUGCUGGACUUUGUUUUUUUGUAAAGUUGUAUAUGAAAUAAUAAACUAAG